GAGUGCAAUUUUUAGGCUUAAUUUGAGGAACCGUUUAGGCUAAAAAUUUGAGGAAAAAAGGCUUCAUAUUUAUUUUAAGAGAAUUGGUCCAAUUAUCUGGGUUUGAUUGAGUCACCUUCAUUUGAAUCUCAACAAUGGCUGUGGUCAGACGGCGUUUUGAAGGAGCAGACGAUCAGUGUAAAAUAUUAAGAGGUAAGUUAAGCCCCUUACUAUUUUUUACAUUUUAUUUUGAUUUCUUAAAUAAGCUCCUCAGGACACCGCUUAUUCACGCUAUAGUACAGGAAUUGUUUUACAUUGAUUUUUGAAUCUGAACGACAUUUUGGCAUGUGAAACAGUAACUAUGUUCAACCAGGUCUUUUAAAAUAAAGGUUUACAAUUAUGCGAUGUUAUUUGAUGUGAAAAUCUGAGCUCGAGCUUAUUAGACAUAACUCCUCACAUGCACGUGCUGAGGCUAUAUGGACAUGUUGGUCGCUAAAGCAAAAAUAAUUAUGGCCAUGCAUCGAGCUUGAUAGAUGGGGCAGUUUCUAUGAUUAUACUUAACUUUUAAGACUGUUGAUGUGUUUAUAUAUUCGCUUCAAAUUGUAAAGAUAUAUUAAAUUAGCGUUUAAUCAUUUCACGCAAUAUAUGCAUUUUUUUUUCAUUCAUCCUCGACGUUAGAAGGCGCCCUCUUAAACUAAACAAGUCACAAACACCAUAGAAGCAACACGAUUGCGUUUCAGGAAUUGAUAUGGACAUAACCAUGCUUUUGACUAGUUGAAGAAUACAAACAUCUUUGCAAUCAUUAAGGCAAUAUCAGUCUCCACAAAGACAACUUCUGAGAUGACAAUGGAGCUUGUGGUGAAAGAAAAAAUGUCAAAAACCCUUGCUCUCCGAAGACAUGAGGUGGUUGAAUUGUGCCCAACUUGCAGAAUUUAAAGAUCACUGGCCUGCUCUGUUUGACAUUCUCCAGAUUAAUGAAGAGUUUAGGAGAAUUACUACUCUGCACCUUGAGACAACAUUUAUUAAGAUGUUGGAUUACUACACUCCUAAACUUUUCACAAUAUUUUCCUGCAAAGGAGGAGCACUCGGACAGAUUUUGAAGAAGAAAACGGGUGCCAUACAGCAGACCUCACAUCAAAACAUAGAACAGACAAGAGAUGUUGUCCUCCGUUGCUUGGUCUAUUACUUGGGUGAAAAGGAGGAAGACCUCAUCCAGGAGUACAAUGUAAGUGUCUAAAACUAAUUCAGAUAUUUGUUUGCAGAAAACUGCAAUUAGCAUUUGUUUUCCUUUACAAAAACAGAAAUACAUCUUAAACAUAAGUACGUUCCUCAUGCAAAAACAUUCUUGCACUAGUGUCAGUGUCACGCAACGUGCCGAACGGGUGAUCGCUCAGGCAGCGCGAGGGAACAGGCAGGCAGGCGGAAAACAGGGCAAACUGGGGGUUUAUUGGGGAAUGCGGGUCGACAAACACCAGGUAACAUCAAUGACAGACAAAGGACUCGGGUAAGACAUGGACUGAAAUACACAGGACUGAGCAAAGUAACUAGACACAGCUGGGUACAAUCGGGAAAGAACACGUGGGUAAUCAGGGGAGCGUGGCACACAGGAGGAGUGGAUGAGCUGGGCAUGAAAGAAGGAGCGCCUAGGAGGAGGCGACGGACGGGACGAGGGAAACGAGACCUGGAACAGAAGAACAAAAUCAACGAGAGACGGGAAACAGGACCAAGGCACAAAACAGGGCUAGCGACAGGACGUAGGAGUUGAUAAAGGGCAGGGAAGGCGGACAGACAGACCAGGAAUGGGGUCAGAGAGGGAACAGGUGGAACAAACGGGCCAGGAGUGAAAGGAGGGAACACCGGGGAACAAGGAGCAAAGAAGGGUGGAACAGAGGGACGAGAAGCAAAAAACGAAGGGACAAAGACAGGAGGGGGAGUCGAGAAUGGAGGGGCGAAAGCAGGAGAGUAGGGCGAGAAGGAGGGGGAAUGCAGGGUCGGCUGAGGGAGCCCCAGUGGGCGACGGGAGGUAGCCAGAGGGGCCGCAGGAGGCCGGAG